AUCUUCAUUUUGAAUGCUGAAUUCCUGGUUUUGCUGAACAAUAGGACUGAUCCCUUGUUUCCGCAAAGAACCCAUUUGUCCUUGAGGUCCUCCAGCCGAACUAGGUCGACUGCUUAACUGAGGGAAAUCAUUGAUAUCAAAAGGAGAUCCAUCAUUUGAAUUUACAUCAUUCAACAAUCCCAAAGAACUAAGGUUUCCCAUUGCUUGGACAUGGUUUUGAGCUAGUGGACCACCAGCAGAAUAGGAAUUUCCUAACAUAGAAAGUACCUGCGGAGAGGCUUGCUGAAGAACACCACUCAUUAUCCUAUUAGGUCCUUGAACAUUUAAAUUUCCAGA
rnacentral:misc_RNA from 1 species